UCCCUUUCGCUUUCCUUCCCGCGGCCAUGUCUCCUUGUUACCUCCCUAUCUUCAUCAUCUAUCUCUUUCUUCCCUCCCUAUCUCCGGCGGCUCUAUCUCCUUCAUCCCUCCCUAUCUCCCGCACAGCUCCUUUCUCGUAGCUCUGGGCAACUCUUAUCUCCUUUCCCGCAGCUCUUGGGAGCUCGUGUCGCAGCCCCCUGGCCACAGCUCCUCGUGUCACAGAAGCGCACUUACGAGACAGACAGACACAUUCACACACACACACACACUCACAGCUCGAUAAGAAGAGAGAGGACCAUCGUCCACAAGGCCCAAGGCCUAAGCCUGAAAGCAACAGAAACCUGAGAGUCUGAGAUCGGAGGCAGAGACUCCGUCCUUUCACAGAUCGGACCAAAACCAGAUGGAAGAGGGUCAGUGGCAAGGAUUUGGGACCGAAGGGCAGAGUAGGAAUCAUUGAGGCCGAGAAGAAAUUGAAAGACACGUUCAUCUUCAGCCCUUUUUCCAAGGUAGUAGCAUCGGUGAGAGGUUGGAGAUUUCCCAACUCAUCCCAAAGUUGUUUGAUAUUGUUGUAGUAAUCGGGUAUAGAAAGUUGGUUUUGAUGGAGGUUGGAGAUUUCUCUUUUGAGAUGGAAGAGGCGGGCAUUAUUUCCAUGGCUAAAACGAGAUUCGAGAUCAAGCCAAACAUCUCGAGGAUCAUCGUGAUAGUCCAAGGAAUUGGCUAGGGAAGGGGUGAUUGUGUUGAGAAGCCAAGUUAAGACCAUGUCUUUGGUGCGGCUCCAUUGGGCAUAAUCAGGGGAGGUUUUGGCAGGGGCAUGAAGACUACCAUCAACGAAAGAGAGUUUGUGUUUAGCGUUGAGUGCACGGCGAAUAGCACGCUGCCAUUUUGGGAAAUUGUCACCUGUGAGGAGACCGGAAACCAGAACGAGACUAGGAGAAUCAGAGGGGUGGAGGAGAUAUGGGGAAGAAGAUGGAGGAGGAUCAUCGGUUGAGGAAGCCAUCGGGAAGGAGAGGUAAGUCAGAAUCUGUUUUGGCCUGAUACCAUGUUAAACAAUAGCUUGGCUGAAUUGAUUUGCAUUAUUUCAUUGAGAAUAAUAUAUAGAGCUAUGUACGGUGAUGCUUUACAUGGAAAGAAAUCAAAUAAUUUACAUGGAAAGAAAUCAAAUAAUGCCGUUACAAAUAAAUCAAAUAGCAAAAUUGGUGGGAUGUGCUAGGAUCAUGGAGACGGAAAUUCUGAUGAGCUGUUAAUACAUUCUUCCUUCAUUAAAAUUUUCGCUUAUAUUUGGUUGGUCCUGAAGUUUUCUCUUGUUUUCUGCUAAUUAUUUGUAGUUACCAUUACAUAUGUUUCCUUCUCUAAAUAUCUUUGUAUAUGGCUCCAAUGAUGGCAUGAAAUCUUUGAGACCUGAUUGUCCAAUUUGAUGACAACUAUAAGCAUAUUUUCUGAGGAUGCCUUCCAAUCAAUGACUAUUAUUUUUUCGAGGAUGAAAUAUGGGUCGCUAGAAACCAAAAGUUUAGCCACAUAUUUCAUUAAUUCAAUGGAAGAAAACAUUUUGUUUGAUAUUCUUGAUAAUCGAGUUUUGAAGGAAGCUAAGAAAGAAGAGAUUAUUGCAGUCGCCAACCUUGUGAAAAGGUGCUUGAACUUGAAUGGAAAGAAACGACCAUGAAAGAGGUCGCAAAAGAGUUGAAGGCAGUACUGCAAAUCUCACGAAAAGCCUCUAACCUUCACCAAAACUUUGAAGAGGUCGUACUCAAGAAUGAAAUGUUCGAUCAGUAUAAUGUUUCUACAUCAACAAUUGCAGGUAUGGACAGCGGCAUAGCCUCAUGUUUAGAUGCUGAACCAUUAUUAUCGUCUUACAUAUUAGGGCCAGUAUUUCAUCUUGUGGGCUACAUAAUUUAGUCUUUUGGUUGAAUAUAUCAUGAAGUUAAUGCAUGCCAGCCAUGAAUAUAUCACUGAACAUGGAUUGUAGAUGAUAUUAUAUCUUAUGGUGGAAUGAGGCAUGCAAACAUAUACGCCUUUUAUGGUCUCA